UGGGGCGAAGCUUAAACUGGGGGAAACUGCUGCGAGGUUAUACCUUUAAUAAAGACAAAUUUAUAUUAUUAAUUUGAUAUAAAGUUUUAGUUUGUAUGCUAAUAUUUAAAUACAAUAGUUAUAUAUUGUAAUUAGUCUUUUAUUUAAAAACACCUUUGUUAAGCUAAUUAGCAUCUGUUAACUCAUUUAAGUAACAUCU
rnacentral:rRNA from 1 species